UGUUCUUAAUUCUUAAGUGAAGAGUGAAUUAUUCUUAAAUCUUAAGUGAGUAUUAGUGAUUAAUGUAGAAAUAUAAAGUCAUGGUGUCAUAGCAUAGGGUAAGUUAGGUGGCUGUUGUAGAUUUGGAAAUCUCAUGCACAAGCACACCUGGCAUUUAAAUGAGUUUUCUAGAGCUCAUGUCUUUUCAAUGUCCAAUUUAUAACUUUACAAAGACUCAGGCUAUUAUCUUCCCCUUCAUAAUAUCACAUCAUUUUUUAUUCUGUAAGUCCAAAACUACUCACUCAUUCUUCCUCUCCCUUAUUUCUUCUUCCUUUUUUUCAUCACUUUGGUCACUACUCUCUUCAUCAAUCCCUCACCUCUCCAAUGACAUCAAAGAAAAGAUGACAACUUCAUCUUCUCUAACGGCAACGUUUUCAAAAUACAUCGGCGAUCUUCUCCUUCUCUGCAUAAUAUCGGCCGGUUCACCGGUUUUAUGAAAUACCGGCCGGUUCUGGCCGGUUUAGACCGAUCUCUACCGGUUUGAGUGCAUACCCGAUAUAACCACCGUUCCGUACCGGUAAGGGGUCCGGUUCACCGGUUUCCUGGUCCAACCGGCCGGUCCGGUUCGUUUUUAACAACAUUGGAAGAUAGCAUUUAAAAGCCAUAAACCCUCGUGAAGAAGGCCCAAUGCUUUUAUUAUAGAAAUUAAGCUUAUUUAUAC
rnacentral:lncRNA from 1 species